AGAGUUUGAUCCUGGCUCAGAACGAACGCUGGCGGCGUGCCUAACACAUGCAAGUCGAACGGGCCGGUGCGGAGCACCGGGAACUAAAGGAAAUAGGUCUUAUAAGUCCAAUAGGACAUAUGUUUUAGUUUCGAGUGCUUCGCAUCGGUUAGUGGCGAACGGGUGAGUAACACGUAGUUAAGCUACCCUCGAGAGCGGGACAACCCAGGGAAACUUGGGCUAAUACCGCAUAAGACCACGAACUGGGAUGUUAGUGGUAAAAGCAGCAAUGCGCUAGGGGAUGUGACUGCGGCCUAUCAGGUAGUUGGUGGGGUAAAGGCCCACCAAGCCAAAGACGGGUAGCCGGACUGAGAGGUCGAACGGCCACACUGGAACUGAGACACGGUCCAGACUCCUACGGGAGGCAGCAGUGGGGAAUCUUGCACAAUGGGGGAAACCCUGAUGCAGCGACGCCGCGUGGAGGAUGAAGGCCUUCGGGUUGUAAACUUCUUUUGUAGGGGAAAAUAAUGAUGGUACCCUAUGAAUAAGCCACGGCUAACUCUGUGCCAGCAGCCGCGGUAAGACAGAGGUGGCGAGCGUUGUUCGGAAUUACUGGGCUUAAAGGGCGCGUAGGCGGUGAUACAAGUCUGGGGUGGAAUUUCACGGCUUAACCGUGGGACUGCCCUGGAAACUGUAUUACUUGAGUCGGUGAGGGGAAGGCGGAAUUCCUGGUGUAGCAGUGAAAUGCGUAGAUAUCAGGAGGAAGGCCUGUGGUGAAGACGGCCUUCUGGCACUUGACUGACGCUGAGGCGCGAAAGCGUGGGGAGCAAACAGGAUUAGAUACCCUGGUAGUCC
rnacentral:rRNA from 1 species